GACUUUAAAAUCGACAGGCUUGGAAAAAUUCGAUCUUUUUUCUCUCUUGGACUUCAUGCGCUCCAUUCUUGGCGCGUCUCCUGUGUGGGGUGUUUUUCUUUUGGUUCGGUGGUUGAUCUUUUUCCAGCGACUUAUCCGGUCCUUGCGCCAAGGGCGCCGUCUUUCGCCCCCCCCCCUGUCGACUCGUGCGGGCAUUCCGUCGAGCAUCUUCCGUGCGCCGUCUGGUGGCGUGGGGGAUCUGCGGAUGUCAUGGUCCGUCGUGUGAACGGGCGGCGGUUCUUGGUUUCUCGGGGGCGUUCCUUGAUGCCGGUGUUGCGGAAGCAAGCUUCUCGCGGAUGGAUUGCAACGGCUGCUGCGUGUUGAAAUCAAGGAGGUUCGUUGGCAUCGCCGACGCGGGGUUCGAGGAUGCGGCUGAUGGCAUCAGCGAAUUCUGUGAGGCGAUGAGUCUUGCGCACAAACAGAAAGUUAAGGGUGUUGAGGAAACCGUGGAGAUGGAGGAGAAGCAGGAGUUGAGUUGGGAUUGUAACGUGCUCUUAUCAAAGGAUGAUGAUUUCCUUCUUCCGGGGAGCAGUAAGCUCCACGCUUCAGCAUCAGGAGGGGCAGCUUUAUCUGGCAAAAUGGGGUUGUUUGAGUCGAGGACAGACAGGUCUGGAAGCAAAGGAACAAGCAAGGUCCCAAGACUGGGAUCGGUUCUUGGGACAGCCAUCAUGGCUGGAUUUGGCAAAGCAGUGGAGAUUGUAGACACAUUAGGCUGCCUAAUGACAACCCUGAGCCCAGAUGGUGGCUUUAUUUCUAGGGCGAAGACCAAAGGGUGCAAGAUAUCAAUUCUUGCUUUUGAGGUUGCCAACACAAUUCUUAAAGGUGCCAGUGUUAUGCAAUCUCUCUCCUAAGAUACUGUCACAUACUUCAAACAAGAGGUGCUUCCUUCUGAAGGUGUACAGAGUUUGGUUUCCAACGACAUGAGUGAGUUGAUGCGAAUUGCAGCUAAUGACAAAAGGUGUCUCUCCACUGCGUGGUCUACUUUGUAGAUCUUUUGGGAUAUGGAACGGGAGUCGAACUCCCGCCGGCUCUCUCUACCUAUGGAGUUUUGCCACUGGGCUACCAGCCUGUUCGCAUAGCUCAAAUUUAGUAGUAGAAAUUGGCUUUGUCAUCAUAUCAGCAGGAUUAUAAUAAGUGUUUAUCUUGCAUAUUUUAAUAUCACCUUGAGCAAUGAUAUCUCGAAUAUAAUGAUACCUCACAUAAAUAUGUUUUGU